GUAUGAACCUAUGAAACUAUCAUCAGAAUCAAAAUAAUAAACAUUUCCAUCAUCCCUCAAAGGUUCUUGUGCCUCUUUGUAACCCAUUCCUCCCUCUGUCGCCACAAAACCACUGACCUGCUUUCUGUCUCCCUAGACGCGUUCUCACUGUCUAGAAAUUUAUGUAGAAGGAUCCACUCAGUCUGUGCUCCUUUUUGCCUGCCUUUUUUAGUAAGCAUGGUGAUAUUGAGAUUCACCCACUGUUCUUGUGAGUAUCAAUACUUGUUCCUUUUUAUCGCUGAGUAAUAUUCCAUUACCUGGCUAUUCUGUAAUUUGUUUAUCCAUUCAUCUGUUCAUAGACAUUUGAGUUGUUUCCAGCUUUUAGCUAUUCCAAAUAAAGCUGCUAUGAACAUCUGUGUACAAGUCCUUGUGUGAAUGUGUGUUUUUGUUUUUCUUGGGUAACUACCUGUAAAAACAAUGGAGUGUCUGGCUGGUAUGGUAGGUGUACAUUUAAUUUUUUAAGAAACUGACCAAUUGUUUUUCUAAGUGUUCAGUUCCAGUUGCUAAGCAUCCUUGACAAUGCUUGCAGUGAUCAGUCUCUAAUUCUAGCUAUUCUGCUGCUUGUGAAGAAAUGAAAUUUACAUACGCACAUGAAAUUUACAUGUGCUCAUGAAGAGCGUUUCUUCAUGUGUUCCCUGGCCAUUUUGUAUCUAUUGUGAAGUGUCUGUUAUAAUCUUUUAGCAGUUUUUAAUUGGGUUGUUUUCUUAAUAUUACUGAGUUGUGAGAGUUUUAAAAAAUGUAUUCUGUAAUAACAAGUCUUUUAUCUGCAAAUAUAAAUAUAUUCUCCCAGUCCAUGGCUGUGCCUUUUUGUUCUAAUAAGGUGUCAGUAUCAACAGUCAAAUCUGGAGCGUUUGGGGUUUCUGUGCCUAGAAGAACAUUGAAUAUUUAACAAAUGCAGCAAACUUAAGUCUCUAGAUCCUGGCUGUGGUACCAUCAUGAAUGAGAGCAUAGUGAUACCAUGUUAGCUCUUGGUUUGGAAAUGAUUUAGUAUAUUUUAAGAAAAACACUGUGUGAAGCAACAUACUGGGAGCUAGAGGAGACAGAAGGAAAGGUACAGACAUCACCAGACAUGGGCAGUGUUCUCAGAGGGCUCACAUCUAUGGAAGAGGGGGCAAAAGGCAUGCAUUCUGAUCAUAAUGAUGGGAUGUGCUGUAUGCUUUAUUGGCAUGACCUCAUUUAAUCUUCAGCACAGCCCUCUGAUGUAGAUUUUCUCCAUUUUGCAGAUGAAGAAAUUGAGGCUUAGAGAAGUCAGGUAAGUUCCCCAGUUCAUAUAGCUAGCACAUGGCAGACCUAGAUUCAGUCCCAAGUCUGUUUGACUCCAAAGUCCACGUACUUAGCCUUUAAGCUAAAUUGCCUCUCAAGUAGAUCAUAAGAUAGGAUGUGUUAAGGAUUAUAAGAGAGUUAGAAACAGAGUAUUAUGGACCAAGAAGUGAAAAAGUUAUUUUUGUCUGUGCCUGACAGCAGCAUGAAGGAGUUACCAUUUGAGUUGGGCCUUGAAGGAUGUAUGCAACCUCGGUAACAAAGAUGGCAGAAGGGGAAUGGCAGUUGAAGGGAACAGCAUGGCCAAGGAUGCAGGGUACACCAAGCAAUUCUCCAAUUUUCAGCAGACACUGACUGGAAGUCCUACAGAUUUAACCCAAUUCUGACACUUAGCUACCUGGAGUUAGUGUCAGAUCCCACAGGUCUCAGUCCUAUAAGAUGCCCCUACUUCCGAUGCCAGUCAUAAGUCCUGUUUGUCACCUGUCCUUCAGAAUGACCAGUUUCAUUUGACGUAGAUUUAUAAAAACAGCUUUAUUGAGGUACAAUUGGUAUGCAGUAAAUUGCAUGUGUUUAAAGUGUAUAAUUUUGGUA